rnacentral:lncRNA from 1 species
CUCCCACUUCUGAGUGAGAACAUGCAGUGUUUGGUUUUCUGUCCUUGUGAUAGUUUGCUUAGAAUGAUGACAACCCAAUUUUCAAAAUGGGCAAAAGACUUGAAUAGACAUUUCUCCAAUUAAGAUAUAUACAAAUGGCCAAUAAGCACAUGAAAAGAUGCCCAAUAUCACUAGUCAUUAGGAAAAUGCAAAUCAAAGCUACCAUGUAAUACUUCAAUCUCAUUAGGAUGGCUAAUAUCAAAAGAAAAAUUGAGGAGUGCUGGUGGUAACGUGAAAUGGUGCAGCCAUUGUGGAAAGAAGUAUGGAAGUUCCUCAAAAGCACCUGAAAUUUUGCUGAUGGUUUCUAUCAAACACGUUUCCUGGAAAUGCUGGUGCCAUGGUAUUUCCCCAUCAUAACUGAAGUAACUUGAGGAAAAUUCUGACAAAGAUUCUAGAAGCUGCCUAUAUUCUUUGGCUUGUGGCCCCUUCCUCCAUCUUUGAAGUGUGUCACUCCAACCUCUGGUUCCAUGAGUGACCAGCAAUUAUCACAUAUUUUCUUGAUGAUCUUUUCCCCCAAGGUCUAGUUUGAGACUUUACAAAUGCUUACCAGUGGACUUCUAAAUCCUCAAGGGAAAGAAAUAAACACACACAGUGCCAGCUUUCUGGGGUCACCUUACUUGCAAAAGUGUUGCUUUUCGGCAUUGUUUUAAUAAACUCAGAGAGACUUGGAUCUUCUUUAGAAAAGAAUGUUAAUGACCACCAUCCAAAGACCACUGGAAGCACAGAGGCAGUCAAAGUUAGAUGUAUUAUUUGCUGAAGCAGGGGCCACCAUAUCCCAUGAGGAGCUCUGAAGUUAUCUCUGCAAAAAGGUGAUAUUGGGAGCAGAAAUGGGCAUCUCACUACGUUGCCCAAGGUGGUCUCAAACUCCUGGGUUCAAACGCUCCUCCCACCUCCAUCUCCCAAAGCAUUGGAAUAACGGGCAUGAGCCACCAUGCCUGGCCUCAACAUUGACAUUUACAUCAGUAGACUUUGAAUAAAGAAAAUUAAUCUCCAUAAUAUGAGUCGGCUUCAUCCAAUCAGUUGAAAGCCUUAAGAGUAAAGACUAAGAUUUCCAGAAGAAGCAGCAAUUCUGCCUCAAGAUUGCAGCAUAGAAUUCCUACUUCAGUUUCUCAUCUGUUGCCCUGCCCAGAAGAUUUUAGAUUCAAGACUGCAACAUCAGUUCUUACCUGAAUCUCCAGUCUGCCAGCCCACCAGUCAUAUGGCCUGCUCCUCACUGUAUAAGCCUCAUCUCUACCUAAUUUGGAGUCAGCCCUGUCCAGGAGGCUGAAUCCUAUAGACUAUCAACUGAUACGAUAAGCAAAAACAAUGGCCCCUCUAAAGACAUUCACAUCCUAAUCCCUGGAACUUGUGAACAUGUUACCUUAUGUGGCAGAAGAAGUCGGUGAUGCUAUGUGAAGACUCAAUCUUCCAUUGCUGGCUUUGAAAAUGGAGGAGCUGGCCACGAGCUAAGGAAUAUGGAGGGAAUUUUGAAACUGGAAAACGCAAGGAAAUGGAUUCUCCUCUAGAGCCCCCAGAAAGGAAUACAGCCCUGCCGACACUUUUAUUUGAGCCCAGUGAGACCUUUGUAGGACUUCUGACCUACAGAACUGUUAGAUAAAAAAUUUAUAUUAUUUAAGCCACCAAGCUUGUGGUCAUUUGUUACAGCAGUAAUAGGGAACUGCAGCUGGCUUCUGGUUGAAUUUGGCUAAUGGGAAUCAUCUGAAGAAGAUCAGAUGCUGAGAGGAAGAAGUGGUUGGAGUACUCCUUUACUAUUCUCCACUUGCUCUGCGCUGAGUGUCCUGGUGAGGGCGACAUCUCUCCCCAGCUAGAAUGUCUCCUCCACUGCUCUGGCUCUCAAUGGGAUGCUGAGGCACCAUUUCCUGUUUGCCCCUUCAAGCCUAGGGCUGGUAAGGACUUCCUGUUCUUAUCUGUCUUCUUACUCUACCCACAAUUUCAUAAGUAGUUCGUGAAGUAGCUCAAAUAGUGUUCCCCAAAAUUCACGUUCACCCAGAACCUCAGAAGGUGACCAUAUUUGGAAAUAGGGUCUGUGAAGGUAUAAUUAACUAAGGAUCUUGAGAUGAAAUCAUCGGAUAUUUAGGGUGACCCCUAAAUCCAAUGACUGGUGUCUUUGUGAGAAGAGGAAAAAACACAGAGAGACACACCAAGAAAGCCAUGUGAAGAUGGAGGCAGAUUAGGGUGAUGCCUCUUCAAGCCAGUGAAUGCCCAGGAUUGUGAGCAAACACCAGAUACUAAGAGAGACGCAUGGGCUUUCCCUCAGAGCCUCUAGAAGAAACCAAUUCUGUCAACACCUUAAGUUUGGACUUCUAGCCUCCUUAACUGUGAGAAAAUAAAUUUCUUUUGUUUUAAGCCACU